UAAACCCAGCUCAACCAAAAGACAGGCUGCCUUUCACGGUCCCACAUGGCGAUGGCCAGACACAGGAUCAACUGCAAAGUGUGUCAACGAUGAACAAAGCUGGCGUGGCACCUGUAGCUACGCAGUGGAUCCCGUCAUUUGCCACAACAAUUCUCCUACCCACUUUCCUAGGUUUCCUAGAGACAUGUCACCCCAAAGUCAGCAGAAAGUAGCUAAAGAUCACAAUGACCCUAUUCCUGCUCCACUAUUACCUCUUUCUAAUUUUUUUCGUUUUUAAUUAAGCCAAAACAGGAAUGUUAGCAUUUUGUCUAAGCCCUGCCCCACAGUUACCUGGCAAUGGCCAGAAACACAGCAGAGUAUGUGUUCACCCAGGCUGAGGAGUGAAUUCAGGGCCAGCGGCUCUGGAACUGGACCGUCCAUCCUCCAGCCUUCUGGAUCCCUUGUGGUGCUUGGAAAUCUGCUUUGUUCUAAUCUGUUAAUCUAGUUUCAAGUUACUCUAAAACACAGGAAACACCCAACAACAAUUAUUGACUGGCCAAUUAUCUGGGCUCCCCAUGUUCUACCCAGUGGACACAUAAAACUAACCAUUAAAGAGAAUAAUCUCCAGAAUCUCAAU